GACGAACGCUGGCGGCGUGCUUAACACAUGCAAGUCGAACGGAAAGGCCCUGCUUUUGUGGGGUGCUCGAGUGGCGAACGGGUGAGUAACACGUGAGUAACCUGCCCUUGACUUUGGGAUAACUUCAGGAAACUGGGGCUAAUACCGGAUAGGAGCUCCUGCUGCAUGGUGGGGGUUGGAAAGUUUCGGCGGUUGGGGAUGGACUCGCGGCUUAUCAGCUUGUUGGUGGGGUAGUGGCUUACCAAGGCUUUGACGGGUAGCCGGCCUGAGAGGGUGACCGGCCACGUUGGGACUGAGAUACGGCCCAGCCUCCUACGGGAGGCAGCAGUGGGGAAUAGUGCACUAUGGGCGGAAGCCUGAUGCAGCAACGCCGCGUGCGGGAUGACGGCCUUCGGGUUGUAAACCGCUUUCGCCUGUGACGAAGCGUGAGUGACGGUAAUGGGUAAAGAAGCACCGGCUAACUACGUG
rnacentral:rRNA from 1 species